AGAAGAAAGAGGCUGACUUU
rnacentral:sRNA from 1 species